GGGCCCCCGGGGCAGCGCAGCGCCCAGCCGCUCUCACCCAGGCCCCGAGGGAGCCUGGCCCCAAGGGAGCUGGGGGUCAG